rnacentral:tRNA from 1 species
GAGGGUAUAGCUCAGUGGUAGAGCACAUGCUUAGCAUGCACAAGGUCUUGAGUUCAAUCCCCAGUACCACCU